rnacentral:rRNA from 1 species
CUACCCUUGACAUGUCAGGAAUCCUGCAGAGAUGUGGGAGUGCCCGAAAGGGAGCCUGAGCACAGGUGCUGCAUGGCUGUCGUCAGCUCGUGUCGUGAGAUGUUGGGUUAAGUCCCGCAACGAGCGCAACCCUUGUCAUUAGUUGCUACGAAAGGGCACUCUAAUGAGACUGCCGGUGACAAACCGGAGGAAGGUGGGGAUGACGUCAAGUCCUCAUGGCCCUUAUGGGUAGGGCUUCACACGUCAUACAAUGGUACAUACAGAGGGCUGCCAACCCGCGAGGGGGAGCUAAUCCCAGAAAGUGUAUCGUAGUCCGGAUUGGAGUCUGCAACUCGACUCCAUGAAGUUGGAAUCGCUAGUAAUCGCGGAUCAGCAUGUCGCGGUGAAUACGUUCCCGGGUCUUGUACACACCGCCCGUCACACCAUGGGAGCGGGUUUUACCAGAAGUAGUUAGCCUAACCGCAAGGAGGGCGAUUACCACGGUAGGAUUCGUGACUGGGGUG